AUGCUCACUUUGGCAGCACAUAUGCUAAAAUUGGAACGAUACAGAGAAGAUUAGCAUGGCCCCUGCGCAAGGAUGACACACAAAUUCGUGAAGCGUUCCAUAUUUGU
ensembl:snRNA U6 U6 spliceosomal RNA